GUGAAUUACCUUCAGGUGAAGAAAUACAUCAAAUUGCAAGAUGGGUUCACAUUUGAGGAGUUUCUAAACAAAGAAUUUUCACCCACAGCUACCUCAACACCAAGUACAUUCACUGAUACACUUUCAAACUCCAGUGAUGUAGAAAGGUUGGAGAGAAACCAACUGAACACAUCUGCAAGUGCAAACUCUAAUAAUGGCAGAGAAAUCACAGGUGCUGAAAAGGCAAAACAGAUUGUUCAAAAUGCCCUGAAAGAGAAACCUGGUGGUUUGGAUGUUCUCGAAGAAUAUGAGUUAACUAAAACACUAAAGCACAGCACGAGAUGACAGCUUGUUAAUGCUGGUCAAGA